UACGGAGGAUGCAAGCGUUAUCCGGAUUUACUGGGUUUAAAGGGUGCGUAGGCGGUUCUUCAAGUCUGUGGUGAAAUCUUGUGGCUCAACCACGAAACUGCCAUGGAUACUGAAGAACUUGAAUAUCGUAGAGGAAAGCGGAAUAUGUCAUGUAGCGGUGAAAUGCAUUGAUAUGACAUGGAACACCAAUUGCGAAGGCAGCUUUCUAUGCGAAUAUUGACACUGAUGCUCGAAAGCGUGGGGAUCAAACAGG
rnacentral:rRNA from 1 species